rnacentral:rRNA from 1 species
GGUUGACCUCGGAUCAGGUAGGAAUACCCGCUGAACUUAAGCAUAUCAAUAAGCGGAGGAAAAGAAACCAACAGGGAUUGCCCUAGUAACGGCGAGUGAAGCGGCAACAGCUCAAAUUUGAAAUCUGGCCCUUGGGUCCGAGUUGUAAUUUGUAGAGGAUGCUUUUGGUGCGGUACCUUCCGAGUUCCCUGGAACGGGACGCCAUAGAGGGUGAGAGCCCCGUCUGGUUGGAUACCAAUCCUCUGUAAAGCUCCUUCGACGAGUCGAGUAGUUUGGGAAUGCUGCUCUAAAUGGGAGGUAUAUGUCUUCUAAAGCUAAAUAUUGGCCAGAGACCGAUAGCGCACAAGUAGAGUGAUCGAAAGAUGAAAAGCACUUUGAAAAGAGGGUUAAACAGUACGUGAAAUUGUUGAAAGGGAAGCGCUUGUGACCAGACUUGGGCCCGGUUAAUCAUCCACCGUUCUCGGUGGUGCACUUGGCCGGCCCAGGCCAGCAUCAGUUCGGCGUGGGGGAUAAAGGCGGCGGGAAUGUGGCUCCUCGGAGUGUUAUAGCCCACCGUGCAAUACCCUGUGCUGGACUGAGGUUCGCGCAUCUGCAAGGAUGCUGGCGUAAUGGUCAUCAGCGACCCGUCUU